rnacentral:rRNA from 1 species
UACGAAGGGGGCGAGCGUUGUUCGGAAUCACUGGGCGUAAAGGGCGCGUAGGCGGCCAUAUAAGUCGGGGGGUGAAAGCCUGUGGCUCAACCACAGAAUUGCCUUCGAUACUGUAUGGCUCGAGACCGGAAGAGGUAAGUGGAACUGCGAGUGUAGAGGUGAAAUUCGUAGAUAUUCGCAAGAACACCAGUGGCGAAGGCGGCUUACUGGUCCGGUUCUGACGCUGAGGCGCGAAAAGCGUGGGGAGCAAACAGG